rnacentral:rRNA from 1 species
AGAGUUUGAUCCUGGCUCAGGAUGAACGCUAGCGGCGGGCUUAAUACAUGCAAGUCAAGGGGUAGCAAUACACCGGCGUACGGGUGCGUAACGCGUAUGGAACCUGCCCUUAUCUGGGGGAUAACUCGGGGAAACUCGAGCUAAUACCGCAUAAGAUAGUAGAAUGGCAUCAUUCAGCUAUUAAAGAUUUAUUGGAUAAGGAUGGCCAUGCGUAAGAUUAGAUAGUUGGCGAGGUAACGGCUCACCAAGUCUACGAUCUUUAGGGGCUCUGAGAGGAGAAUCCCCCACACUGGCACUGAGAUACGGGCCAGACUCCUACGGGAGGCAGCAGUAGGGAAUAUUGGGCAAUGGGCGGAAGCCUGACCCAGCCACGCCGCGUGCAGGAAGACGGCCCUCUGGGUUGUAAACUGCUUUUAACUGGGAAGAAAAGAGGCCUUGCGAGGCAAGUUGACGGUACCAGGUGAAUAAGCCACGGCUAACUACGUGCCAGCAGCCGCGGAAAUACGUAGGAGGCGAGCGUUAUCCGGAUUUAUUGGGUUUAAAGGGAGCGUAUGCGGAUGAUUA